rnacentral:tRNA from 1 species
AGGCCAUUAGCGUAACUGGAAACGCGGUCACUUCCCAGGUGACAGAUACAGGUUCGAGCCCUGUAUGGCCUU